CCUACGGGGGGCAGCAGUCGAGAAUCAUUCACAAUGGGGGAAACCCUGAUGGUGCGACGCCGCGUGGGGGAAUGAAGGUCUUCGGAUUGUAAACCCCUGUCAUGUGGGAGCAAAUUAAAAAGAUAGUACCACAAGAGGAAGAGACGGCUAACUCUGUGCCAGCAGCCGCGGUAAUACAGAGGUAUCAAGCGUUGUUCGGAAGCACUGGGCGUAAAGGGUGCGUAGGCGGUUUCGUAAGUCGUGUGUGAAAGGCGCGGGCUCAACCCGCGGACGGCACAUGAUACUGCGAGACUAGAGUAAUGGAGGGGGAACCGGAAUUCUCGGUGUAGCAGUGAAAUGCGUAGAUAUCGAGAGGAACACUCGUGGCGAAGGCGGGUUCCUGGACAUUAACUGACGCUGAGGCACGAAGGCCAGGGGAGCGAAAGGGAUUAGAUACCCCUGUAGUC
rnacentral:rRNA from 1 species